rnacentral:rRNA from 1 species
CCACACCAAAAAAACUUUCCACGUGAACCGUUUUGUGCGUUUUGUGCUUGUUGUUGUUGUUUUCGCUCUGCUCUGUGCCUUCGGGUGUAGAGUGUGGAGUGGGAAGAAAGCUCCAGGCUAAACGAAGGCUGCGAGUUUCGUGCUUGCGGCCGAUUUAUUCUUUCAAACCCAUACAUUAAAGACUGAAAUAUACUGUGAGGACGAAAGUCCUUGCUUUGAACUAGAUAGCAACUUUCAGCAGUGGAUGUCUAGGCUCGCACAUCGAUGAAGAACGCUGCGAACUGCGAUACGUAAUGCGAAUUGCAGAAUUCAGUGAGUCAUCGAAAUUUUGAACGCAUAUUGCACUUUCGGGUUAUGCCUGGAAGUAUGUCUGUAUCAGUGUCCGUACCUCAACCUUGCCUUUCUUUUCCUGUGUAGUCAGGAGAGGAAACGAGCAGACUUGAAGUGUCUCGCCUGUUGGUUUUCUAUUUUGUAAAUACGACUGGGUGAGUCCUUUGAAAUGGACACGAUCUUUCUGCUGUUUUCUACGGAGUGUGGCGCUCGAAAGGCGGCGGUUUCCUUCGGGAUCGCUCGCAGUCGGACGGCGACUUUGGCGAAUACACAUUAUGGGAAGCAGACUCGACUCGCGGUACGUUAGGUGUGUUGCUUUUUUGCGGCGUGCUGAACAAUGUUGCGUGUUGUGGUCUUGUUUCCUGUGUUCGCUUCGAGGUGUACUGUCUAAUGGCUGUGGGUUUGUAACCUGUGGGAUAUCUAUGCUGUCGUUCGGUCGAGUGCUGCGUUAUACUCUCUGUGGGAAUGCUAGACUUUCGGGUUUGGUAAAGCAAGAAGGCUUGAUUUGGGAAGUAUUGUGUGUACUCGCGUGUAGAGCGCGUGUAUAACAUCUCAAUUGGACCUGAUAUCAGACAAGACUACCCGCU